CAGCUCCGACCCAGCCCAAGCGUUCGCAGGAGAGCAUUUGAUAACAUUUAACAGGCAAUUAGUGUCCAUUCCCAAUCACUUAAAAGAGGCAUUCAUAUACUUUGAAAACGGGACUAUCUAUCCUUUGCAGACACCAGCAGAAAAACAAAUUGUACCCGAGUAAUCCUUUUAAGUACUUUAACCUCCAACCUCCUCCCACUUCCUUGCUUUUUAACUUCUCCUUUGAGAGAUGUGAUCGUGCAGCACCUCAGUGCCUCAACGAAAUCUUUUUUUUUUUCCUGUGUGAAAUCCAUCCCUUUAUCUUACAUCUCCGCCUCCGUCCGAGACUGUCCCUCUCCCCUCCCACCUCCAAAGAUUUCUGAAUCUCAGUGUCUCUCACUCCUGGCAAUUAAGCAGCAGAUCCCAGCAUUCUAGUCGGUGGCAUCUCGCUCCUCACCGACGAAGACUCCAUUAAAACAGAUCAAUUAGACCAGACGUUGGAGGCAUCAGAAAAUCGGCUUCUAGACAGAGCAGCUAAAUUCUUUAAGGAAACAGAAUACCCAUUAGAUAGAGCUGCCAACUAAUAUUGCAAAACAAGGAAUUAGAAAUUUCUUUCGCUACAGGCUUUCAGCAGAGAAGGCAACAUAAAUAUAGAUCAAGAUUUAACAACUCUACAGCAGAGAAUGAGAACAUGUCAUUUUCCAUAGCAAGGCUGGUGUGGUAACUAAUCAGGCUUAUGAAAAUAAGUCAUGCUUGAAACUAAAGGCAAAGUCCUUAAAAGUGUUUAUGCAGUAAUUAUGAUAAUGAAACAGGACCUGCUAGGAUUUCAGAGUUUGGCUAUGUAAGUAGAAUUUUAGAGAACCUCUUAGCAGAGGAAAACUGUUUUUGAAUUUUCUGCUAAGUAAAUUUUUGGCAUACUUUCUAAUAAUAUAUGCUCUUCCUAAGACGUUUUGCCAAAAGUAAGUUAAAACUCCAAAGGAGUUAAUUACUGGUUGUAACUGGUUAACAAAUGCGGUUGCUUCCACAGAGGUCCUUUAAAUUAUUAAACAGUUUGAAGCAAAGCCUUUUCAAUGGGAAUGCUGCAAUUUUGUUGCACUUACUCUGUACUUAGUGUUAUAGUGCCACCAAGAAACAAAUUCUGAAACUGGCAAGCACCACCAAGUGGCAGAAGAACAUCACUCAUUGAGCAGAGAAUUGUAUUACUGAAUAUGUAAAUAAAAAUAUAUACAUUAUUUAGACUUGUCACUAGGUACCAAAGAAGUAGACAAGACUGCAUUAGCAAUUGGAUUAGUGCUUUAACUUUUCCCCAGCAAGGCAAAAUCAGUUUACUUAUUAGAAUUAAAUUUAAGUCUAUGAACUGUACUUUGCAUUGCGUAUCAUAUGAUUGCUAGUAAUAUGACACAAUCAUACCAUGUAUUUGCAAAAUUCUUAUUUUAAAAUACUAUACCAUAUUUACUUUCAAUCUUCUUGAGCUAGAACACUUUAUUUGUGGCAUAUACACUCUAGAAUUGAUGCAGAGGAGCAGAGUCCAGUUGUUAGAUUUUUCAGUAGAAAUAGUGCAGAUAUAUUUUCUCCAGAAAACUUAAGAACAUUUUUUUUUCUCAUGGAAAGAACAUCAUUAUAAAGUGUGAGAUUACUCACAGCUUAAGUAGGGGGCUUGGGAGUUAUUCUCCAACAAGAAUAGUUUAAGAUAAAUAAAUGAACCUGGGAAAAUAAGAUACACUGCCAAUCAGAACUCUUAUCUCCUUCAUGAUUUCAUACUUUCUGAUUGCUUCAAUAAAGGAAUAUGGCUUUGAAAGCAUCAGGCAACUUGCCCCAAGAAACAAAUCUCGUCAGUGACACUGCUGGGACUCUGUGAAAUUCUGCCUGACUUCAGAGCACAAGACAUAAGUCACUAAUUUCUGCUGUAUUGCUGCCUGUUAGCUUCUGAGAGGGGAAACUAACUGGGAACGUAUCAGUUCUGUCCAUGAUACUUCAUUUGCCCUUUCUGUGGAGCCGCAGUAAGGCCCAAACUUUAAUUCUCAAACUUCGGCAAUAAGAUCCAGUGAUUUCUGAACCUGGUUGAUCAUAUGAAUUCCUUGAGAAACUUUGAAACAAUAGACAAAUUCCAAGUCCCACUAUCAGGGAUUCAGAAAAUCUGGAGUUGGGCCUUGGGAUCCACAUUUCAAUAUUCAUCCUUGUUGGAGAAGUAAGGUACCACCUAUACCUAUAUGACAAAUGAAAGGAUACCUCGAUUUUUGCUCAGUUUUCACAGAGAGGUUUCUGAGACAGGUUAAAAGCUUUUACUCAGUGUAAAGAUGAGCUGUUGUACAUGUCUGUCUCUCUGUUUUUAUGCAUAUGUUCACCAAAUAUGUAUUAAGCUUCUAAUAUGUCUGACACAGUAACUUUGUGACUGUAGACAAUUUCCUCAUUUGUAAAAUGUGAGUAAUAACAAUACCUGCCUCCUGGGCUUGUUCUAAAGAUUAAAAUAAAAAUGUAUGGUUUAAUGGUAGUGGAUUUGGGGGGAUCCCCUAUAUAAAUAAGUGAAUGGAGGUAUGAAUAAAUAAAUACAUAAAGAUGUGUGUACUUAUAUUUAUACACAUAAUUAAAAAUAGUUAAAGAUGUACAAAUUAAAGUUAAAUGUAUGUGAUAUUGAAGUAUAUGUUGAUUAUUGAUAAUGAAGUACAGUAUAAUUUCUAACCCCACACCUUAACAUCUCAUACUUAAUAACUCAUAUCUUAAU
rnacentral:lncRNA from 10 species